rnacentral:rRNA from 1 species
UAAAGCGUGCGCAGGCGGUUAUGUAAGACAGUUGUGAAAUCCCCGGGCUCAACCUGGGAACCGCAUCUGUGACUGCAUAGCUAGAGUACGGUAGAGGGGGAUGGAAUUCCGCGUGUAGCAGUGAAAUGCGUAGAUAUGCGGAGGAACACCGAUGGCGAAGGCAAUCCCCUGGACCUGUACUGACGCUCAUGCACGAAAGCGUGGGGAGCAAACAGGAUUAGAUACCCAGU